UGUGGGUGUGUUCAUAGUAUUUUUCUUUGUAGAAUUUCAAGAUUUAACACCGGUGGAUUUAAUCUUUUUGCUUAAAAUUGCUGCUGUUGUGAUACAAUAAAAUUUAUAUUCACAAUUUCCAAUUUGACAAAAUACUUUAUUGCCCUGUGUUAUUUUUUGUGAUAAACAUAUGAAGACACAAAAACAACCACACAUGCCUUACCCAUUUAGAUAAGCAUUUGUAUCCAUGUUUACACAUCUAUCUUAAAUGCUGUCUUGUAAAAUCCAGUGGUUAAUUCCAAGUUUACCAUCUAAUGUGCUAUUAGAUACUCUUUUUUUUUGUGAAAUUGGAUACUUUGCUUACAACUUAAUAAUUUGAUUGCCCCUUUAGUUGCAUAAACUCAGUAAAAUUUUGAGGUUUUAGACACUUAACUGCUGAAUCUCUACGGUUUCUUUUGUUUUGUCCAAUUGUUGUCAUUAUUCUAAUUGGGUAAUUUAAGGUUUUUUACUGUGUUUAUUUAUUUACUGAUUAAUUAGUGGGUCUAAACUCUUAAUUGAAUUGAGGAAAACAGAGAACUAGCAAAGCUUCGUAGAGAACAUGCACCUGUUUCCUGUCAUCCUAUAUUUAUUCCUUCAUUUGGGUAACACAGCUUAAUGAAAUAAAAUUUCAAAAAUAUGUUAAUUUCACGCUUUUGAUUCGAGUUUAACAAUAACAUUUACAUUCACAGUGUAUCUUUUGCUCAGUGGAUAAACAGCUGUAAAUGAGCUUGACUAUGUCAAAUUGAAUGUUUUAGUUCCCACCACCUAUUUGAUAAAAGAUAGUGCAAAACUCCUGCAAUAUGUGUUCAAGCUCUCCCCCUUCUCUUUCUAAUUUAUAUUGUUUCCAUACACUGAAACCAUAACACUAAAUUCCCAAUUUAUUGCCCACAAUGAUGUGUCUUAUAUCUCAUCGAGAAGCUCUCAAGUCCACCGCACUGUCCAACUUUUUUGCCCACUUCAGGUACUGCUUUUAGCAUCAAAAUCCUAUGUAUGUCUAACCUUUCUUCGCAUUUUCAGUUGUUUUAGUGAAAUGAUGUGCAUGAAUUAAUACAACAUAAACUUACAUAGUUUGUGAAUUCAACCAUUGAGGCUUCUAACUGGGUUUUGAUUGUUUCACUGAACUUUUAUACGUUUCAAAUGUUUAAACAUUGACGCUUCUAGCUGAAUUUUCAUUGUUUGGCUAAACUUUUAUGCUUCAUGGUGCCUGUGAAAUAUAAGUUCACCAUUGGUACAUAAUUAAGAUUUGAUUUGAUAUCAUUCAGGUUUGAUUCGUUCAACGCUCUUGAUUGUUUUUUUCAAGCCAACUACUACAUUUUCCAACAAAUUUACAAAGAACAACCAAGCUGGAUUACAGCCAGAUUCCGUCAAAUUAUAUCACUAUUGGUAUUGCAGCUGCCCACCUUACAGAAAUUACAAGAUGUGAUUUAUUUGUGUAAAAUUUUUGGCACCAAAAAGAAAUUAUGGCACUGAGGAAGAAAUUGUGCGAGAGAUCCAAUUUCAAUGGCAAAAUUAUGGACAACUUUGCAAGGUAUUACAGGUCAAAGAUGGACUUAAGGAAGCUAAAGCCUAUGAUUCAAAAGAGAAUCCAAAAUCGAGCUAAAGAUUACCCAGUGCCAGCCAUGGUACCAGUUGCCUAGGAGGUCCUUGAUUCCCGGAGGCUUGUUAUGCAAGGUGUUUCUACUCUCCUCAAAAUGGUACCAGUUUUGGCCUGCAAGUUCUGUCUAGAAGUAUAUAUAGGUGAGAAAGGCCACUUAAUUCAGACUUGUUGUGGCUUCAAACGUCGUGGCAAAAAUUGAGUUCAUGAAUGGAUAGUUGGUGGUUUGAAAGAUGUGCUUGUUCCAGUAGAGACAUUUCACCUCAAGCACAUGUUCCAGGAUGUUAUAAAACACCAUCAGAGGUUUGACUUUGAACGUGUUCCUGCAGUUGUCGAGCUAUGCUGGCAAGCAGGGGCUAAUGAUGGAAAUCAUUUAAAUUGGAACUCUGAAAGUGAUUGUGUUGGCGUUGAUGGAGCUGAGUCUUUGUCAUCUGAUGAACUGAUUCUGGUUGCCAGUGGAACUUUAAGGGCAUGGGAUAUACUUAGAAAUGGCGUGGAGAAGUUGCUGAUGGUUUAUCCAGCAAAAGUCUGUAAACAUUGUUCAGAAAUUCAUGUUGGGCCAUCUGGGCAUAAGGCUAGGCUUUGCGGAAUUUUUAAGUAUGAGAGUCGGCAGGGAACCCAUUUUUGGAGGAAGGCGAAUGUAGAUGAUCUUGUACCUCCAAAGACUGUAUGGCGGCGGCGUCCUCAGGAUCCUCAAGUACUUUUGAAUGAAGGGAGGGGAUUUUAUGGGCAUGCUCCGGCAGUAGUAGAACUAUGUACACAGGCAGGUGCCAUUGCACCUCCAAAGUAUCACUGCAUGAUGAAACUGCAGGGUGUAAGUACCACACUUGGAGAUCAAAGGUUGCUCCACCCGAAUGAUCAAAUGAAAAUGCCGGUUGAUUCGAAGGUAGAAUAUUGAACCUAGCAGAAGCUCCCCAGGACCGUUGGAUCACAGAUGGGUGUAGAAUUGCUUAUAGCUGUAAUGCUUGAUGAUCUGAAAUGGGAAAACGAAACACCUCAAAAGCUCCCUUUAGAUGGUCUGAUCUUCAAUCUUGAGAAUGAUUGUAACAUCAGAUGACUGACAACGGAGUUCAAGAUGGGUUGCAAAAUCAACUGAACGCGUAUUGCCCCUUUCAGUUGGAGCAUGAAAGAGAUGAUCGAAUUUGUAGCUUUGCUUUAGCAAUGCACGCAGAAACAGGAACGUGGAAAUUUAAUUAAGCUUUUCUUGUAUUUAAUGAUGUUUUUAGAUGGGUAAUUCAACUUAAUAAAUCAUUGGAACGCUUAUUACUUAUGCUU